UACGGAGGGUGCAAGCGUUAUCCGGAUUUAUUGGGUUUAAAGGGUCCGCAGGCGGAUUUGUAAGUCAGGGGUGAAAGCCGGCAGCUUAACUGUCGAACUGCCUUUGAUACUGCAAGUCUUGAGUGAGGUUGAAGUAGCUGGAAUGUGUAGUGUAGCGGUGAAAUGCUUAGAUAUUACACAGAACACCGAUUGCGAAGGCAGGUUACUAAGUCUUAACUGACGCUGAGGGACGAAAGCGUGGGGAGCGAACAGG
rnacentral:rRNA from 1 species